CAGUAGCCGCGGGAAUACGUAGGGUGCGAGCGUUGUCCGGAAUUACUGGGCGUAAAGGGCUCGUAGGUGGUUUGUCGCGUCGUCUGUGAAAUUCCGGGGCUUAACUCCGGGCGUGCAGGCGAUACGGGCAUAACUUGAGUACUGUAGGGGUAACUGGAAUUCCUGGUGUAGCGGUGAAAUGCGCAGAUAUCAGGAGGAACACCGAUGGCGAAGGCAGGUUACUGGGCAGUUACUGACGCUGAGGAGCGAAAGCAUGGGUAGCGGACAGGAUUAGAUACCCCAGUAGUCCCUGUCUCUUAUA
rnacentral:rRNA from 1 species